GGCUGUGGCUCAGUGGCAGAGCACAUGCUUUGCAUGCAAAAGGUCCCCAGUUCAAUCCCAACCAUCGCCA